AUGCAGUCGAACGGACCUUCGGGUUAGUGGCGGACGGCUGAGUAACGCGUAGGUAACCUACCCAGUGGUGGGGAAUAACUCGCCGAAAGGCAAGCUAAUACCGCAUAAGUUCCCGGUUUGAAAUGGCCGGGAGGAAAGCAUUUAUGCGCCACUGGAGGGGCCUGCGUCCUAUCAGGUAGUUGGUGGGGUAACGGCCUACCAAGCCGAUGACGGGUAGCUGGUCUGAGAGGACGAUCAGCCAGAAGGGGACUGAGACACGGCCCCUACUCCUACGGGAGGCAGCAGCGAGGAAUCUUGGGCAAUGGGCGAAAGCCUGACCCAGCGACGCCGCGUGAGGGAUGAAGGCCUUCGGGUCGUAAACCUCUUUUGUGAGGGAAGAAGUUCUGACGGUACCUCACGAAUAAGCCACGGCUAACUACGUGCCAGCAGCCGCGGUAAUACGUAGGUGGCGAGCGUUGUCCGGAUUUACUGGGCGUAAAGGGCUUGUAGGCGGUUCGUUAAGUCCGGUGUGAAAUCUCCCGGCUCAACUGGGAGGGGUCAUCGGAUACUGGCGGACUUGAGGUAGGCAGAGGAAAGCGGAAUUCCCGGUGUAGCGGUGAAAUGCGUAGAUAUCGGGAG
rnacentral:rRNA from 1 species